rnacentral:rRNA from 1 species
UACGUAGGCAGCGAGCGUUGUUCGGAAUUACUGGGCGUAAAGAGUGUGUAGGCGGUGCUCUAAGUCACGUGUGAAAUCCCCCGGCUCAACCGGGGAAUUGCGCGUGAUACUGGCGGACUCGAGGCAGGUAGGGGUGAGUGGAACUCCAGGUGGAGCGGUGAAAUGCGUAGAUAUCUGGAGGAACACCGGUGGCGAAAGCGGCUCACUGGACCUGAUCUGACACUGAGGUGCGAAAGCUAGGGUAGCAAACGGG